rnacentral:tRNA from 1 species
GAGGGUAUAGCUCAGUGGUAGACUAUAUGCCUAGCAUGCACAAGGUCCUGGGUUCAAUCCCCAGUACCUCCA